UUUACAUUUGAGUGAGUGGCGAACUGGUGAGUAACACGUGGGAAACCUGCCCAGAAGCGGGGGAUAACACCUGGAAACAGAUGCUAAUACCGCAUAACAACUUGGACCGCAUGGUCCGAGUUGAAAGAUGGCUUCGGCUAUCACUUUGGAUGGUCCCGCGGCGUAUUAGCUAGAUGGUGGGUAACGGCUCACCAUGGCAAUGAUACGUAGCCGACCUGAGAGGGUAAUCGGCCACAUUGGGACUGAGACACGGCCCAAACUCCUACGGGAGGCAGCAGUAGGGAAUCUUCCACAAUGGACGAAAGUCUGAUGGAGCAACGCCGCGUGAGUGAAGAAGGGUUUCGGCUCGUAAAACUCUGUUGUUAAAGAAGAACAUAUCUGAGAGUACUGUUCAGGUAUUGACGGUAUUUAACCAGAAAGCCACGGCUAACUACGUGCCAGCAGCCGC
rnacentral:rRNA from 1 species